rnacentral:rRNA from 1 species
GACGAACGCUGGCGGCGUGCUUAACACAUGCAAGUCGAACGGAAAGACCCUGCUUUUGUGGGGUGCUCGAGUGGCGAACGGUUGAGUAACACGUGAGUAACCUGCCCUUGACUUUGGGAUAACUUCAGGAAACUGGGGCUAAUACCGGAUAGGAGCUCCUGCUGCAUGGUGGGGGUUGGAAAGUUUCGGCGGUUGGGGAUGGACUCGCGGCUUAUCAGCUUGUUGGUGGGGUAGUGGCUUACCAAGGCUUUGACGGGUAGCCGGCCUGAGAGGGUGACCGGCCACAUUGGGACUGAGAUACGGCCCAGACUCCUACGGGAGGCAGCAGUGGGGAAUAUUGCACAAUGGGCGGAAGCCUGAUGCAGCAACGCCGCGUGCGGGAUGACGGCCUUCGGGUUGUAAACCGCUUUCGCCUGUGACGAAGCGUGAGUGACGGUAAUGGGUAAAGAAGCACCGGCUAACUACGUG